UACGGGGGGGGUAAGCGUUGUUCGGAAUUACUGGGCGUAAAGGGCUCGUAGGCGGCCAACUAAGUCAUACGUGAAAUCCCUCAGCUUAACUGGGGAACUGCGUGUGAUACUGGAUGGCUUGGAUUUGGGAGAGGGAUGCGGAACUCCAGGUGUAGCGGUGAAAUGCGUAGAUAUGCGGAGGAACACCGAUGGCGAAGGCAAUCCCCUGGGCCUGCACUGACGCUCAUGCACGAAAGCGUGGGGAGCAAACAGG
rnacentral:rRNA from 1 species